AGUGAACGCUGGCGGCAGGCCUAACACAUGCAAGUCGAACGAACAUUUCGGGGUUAGUGGCGGCCGGGUGAGUAACACGGGGGAACGUGCCUUUAGGUGCGGAAUAACUCAGGGAAACUUGUGCUAAUACCGAAUGUGACCUUCUGGGGAAAGAUGUAUCGACCGUAGAGCGGCCCGCGUCUGAUUAGCUAGUUGGUUGAGGUAAAGGCUCACCAAGGCGACGGUCAGUAGCUGGUCAGAGAGGAAGUUCCGCCACAUUGGGACUGGGACACAGCCCACACUCCUACGGGAGGCGGCAGUGGGUAAUCUUGCGCAAUGGGCGGAAGCAUGACGCAGCCAGGCUGCGUGAAUGAUGUAGGUCUUAGGAUUGUAAAAUUCUUUCACCGGGGACGAUAAUGACGGUACCCGAAGAAGAAGCCCCGGCUAACUUCGUG
rnacentral:rRNA from 1 species